GACAGAGGGUGCAAACGUUUGUUCGGAAUUACUGGGCGUAAAGCGAGUGUAGGCGGUUCGAUAAGUCGGAUGUGAAAAGCCCCCGGGCUCAACCCGGGAAGUGCACUCGAUACUGUCGAGCUAGAGUAUCGGAGAGGUUGGUGGAAUUCUCGGUGUAGAGGUGAAAUUCGUAGAUAUCGAGAGGAACACCGGUGGCGAAGGCGGCCAAACUGGACGAAUACUGACGCUGAGAACUCGAAAGCGUGGGGAGCAAACAGG
rnacentral:rRNA from 1 species